AUUGAACGCUAGCGGGAUGCUUUACACAUGCAAGUCGAACGAGUGGCGGACGGGUGAGUAAUAUAGCAGCACGUGCCCAGUAGCGGGGGAUAACUACUCGAACGAGUGGCUACUACCGCCUACUAUGCGAUCGGCCGUUAUCGGAUUAGCUAGUUGGGGGGGUAAAGGCUCACCAAGGCAACGAUCCGUAGCUGGGCUGAGAGGACGACCAGCCACACUGGGACUGAGAAACGGCCCAGACUCCUACGGGAGGCAGCAGUGGGGAAUUUUGGACAAUGGGGGAAACUCUGAUCCAGCCAUCCCGCGUGUGUGAGAAGGCCUUCGGGUUGUAAAGUACUUUUGGCAGAGAAGCGGUAUCUGCAGAAUAAGCACCGGCUAACUACGUGCCAGCAGCCGCGGUAAUAC
rnacentral:rRNA from 1 species